UACGAAGGGGGCUAGCGUUGCUCGGAAUGACUGGGCGUAAAGGGCGCGUAGGCGGAGUGCUUUGUCGGGCGUGAAAUUCCAGGGCUCAACCUUGGGGCUGCGUUCGAGACGGGCAUUCUAGAGUUCGGAAGAGGGUCGUGGAAUUCCCAGUGUAGAGGUGAAAUUCGUAGAUAUUGGGAAGAACACCGGUGGCGAAGGCGGCGACCUGGUCCGAGACUGACGCUGAGGCGCGAAAGCUAGGGGAGCAAACAGG
rnacentral:rRNA from 1 species